rnacentral:rRNA from 1 species
UACGAAGGGGGCUAGCGUUGCUCGGAAUUACUGGGCGUAAAGCGCACGUAGGCGGAUUGUUAAGUCGGGGGUGAAAUCCUGGAGCUCAACUCCAGAACUGCCUUCGAUACUGGCGAUCUAGAGUCCGGGAGAGGUGAGUGGAACUGCGAGUGUAGAGGUGAAAUUCGUAGAUAUUCGCAAGAACACCAGUGGCGAAGGCGGCUCACUGGCCCGGUACUGACGCUGAGGUGCGAAAGCGUGGGGAGCAAACGGG